CGCAGUAGCACUCCCGAGUCGCUGGGAUGACAGACACGCACCGCGGCCAUGCCCAGCUCGCUGCUCAGCUCCUCAGUACUGGCCUCAUCUCCCCCUGCCUCCCCUUGGGCCUCCGCUCCAGCCCCACUCCACGGCCGCUGCUUUUGCCCUGCGACACUCUGCGUAGAGCUGGACAUACUCAAGGUCACCCCGAGCACCCCUCCCUAGGGAGGCAGAAUCCGUCGCUGCUUUUGGGUACCGCUGCACCAGAGGGAAGAAACGGGCAAAGAGUCCCAGAAUGGCGGCCAGGACUUCUAAGCUGAACAUUUAACACCAGGGGAAACUGAGGCACCGAGCAGGGAAGUCACUUAUCCAAGAUCAGCCGAGGAGCAAAGGGUGGCCCUGGGACUAGAACCGCGGUCGGACAGUCCCCCUCUCCACAGCACCACUGCGACUCCCAGAGAGGGUGGGGGAGACUGGGUGGGACCUGCUUGUGCUGGGACCCCCCAGAAGGGAGUGUGACCAUCACCCUCCAGCCCUGCAGACGCUGCCACGGUGCCAGAGCCCGCACUGUCUUUCACAACGAGAGGUUUGGCUCAGGGCCCUUCAGGGGAUGAAAACCAUUUUCUUAGGAAAAGGAGAAACCAAAAGAAAACGCAAUCAGACAAACCCACGAUGGGCAGGCCCCCGCCACCCGCCGACAUCUGAGCCACAAACUCAGACGGGGAAAUCCGAGGUGACCUGGUGUCCUAAUCCAUUUGUUCGUUGGCUCAUCCGGUCGCAGGGAGGGCUUCCAGGAGGAGGUGACCCUGCAUUGGCUCUGAAGACUCUGUAGGAGUUACCCUGGUGGCCAGAGUGUGGUUUUCUGAUAACAGAGGGAUUGACCUAAGUGAGGGCGUCAGGCGUUACUGGAGGAGGAAGUGACGUCGGAACUGAGAGCGAGAAAGGAAGAGGCACAGCAGAGGCUGUGGGAUGGCCGGUGGCCCAGGACUCCCCUGGUGGCCCCUUGGCCCCAGAAGCCCCUGUUCAGGACACCUGGGCGGAGCCCCGUUUCCUCAUCUGCACAGAACGCAGAGGGAGCGCUGACCCCCAGACGCCCACUGAGAAAGGAGGGCAGCGGCCAUGGCAGAACUCUCUGGGCCCUCUGUCCCUGUGACCUCGAGCCUUCCUCUCUUUGCCCUCUGUGGUCAGACUGUGACCUCUCGACUUAUCAGCCUGUCCCUCAGGGCCCCACUCAGUGCCUGGGUUGCACAAUGACUGCCAGUUCCUGAUGGGGCACCCAGCUCGGGCGGGCUCCCUCCAGGCCAGACAGUCUUUGUGGCCUGCUUAGGAAAGGUCAGCCCAUAGGGACACUGACCUGGGGUCAGCGCUUUGACAGUGUUCUAGAAACAGUUCCAUUUCUGGAGAAAAGCUGGCCUUGGUGACAGCAAGACUGGUGUGGGUUCUGGACUCGUGCUGCGUGUCCCCGGACAGCCUGUCAUAUCACGGUCAUGACCUCUCAUCCUUCUGAGGCCUCUGCACCCUCAACAUUUAAAGCAAUCAUUAAUUUGACAAA